CUGAUGUGUUGGUGUUAUUUUAUUUUGGUUUGCAGGUGAAUCUUGCCUUCUGCUAAACUGGAGAACCCUGAACUUGUGGCACGGUCAGAACUAGUUGCCGAGUUGCUUGAUUUGGAUCUGAAAGAGGGUUGUCGGCUGGAUUGCUUAGGCAAGCUACAUACACAAUAGCACGACUUGGGUCAUUUAGAGGCAGAGUCAUUCGGCGCAGAGCCGCUAGGGGAUGCAGCCCCUGCAGAUGCAGACCCUGAAGAUGCUAGAGGCAGGUCGUCAUCUUCAUCUUCUAAGAAGAGAGGUCCUACGCGAGGUUCAGAAUUACAUGAGAGAACUUCAGUGAAAAGGGUCAUUGGAAUUAAUGAAUUUGGGCAACCGAAUAUAGGGGAUGCAAAUCAGAUCGCAUUCAAUUCAAGCAUUGGUGUUUUCACCCAUGCACACAUUCCGAUCACCUACACAGACUUUCUGUUGGUGCCUCCACAAUACAUUCAGAGGGUCAGUGAUAUCCUGGCAUGUACUUAUGAAUUUCAGGAUA